rnacentral:misc_RNA from 1 species
UCCGGUUUAACACCGGCAGUCUUCUUAGAGUCCCCAACUUAAUGAUGGUAACUAAGAACAGGGGUUGCGCUCGUUAUUGGACUUAACCAGACAUCUUACGACACGAGCUGACGACAGCCAUGCAGCACCUAUCUCCGCGUCCCCGAAGGGAACAUACCAUCUCUGGUACUAGCACGGGAUGUUAAGGGUAGGUAAGGUUCUGCGCGUUGCGUCGAAUUAAACCACAUACUCCACCGCUUGUGCGGGCCCCCGUCAAUUUCUUUGAGUUUCGGCCUUGCGACUGUACUCCCCAGGCGGGAUACUUAACGCGUUAGCUGUAGUACUCAGAGGGUUAAUUCUCCAAACACCUAGUAUCCAUAGUUUACAGCGUGGACUAC